CUUAUGCUUGCUUCUGAGCAAAGAGAAAUCUGAUUUACUAACUCAUCACAGUCCUUAAACUGUAUUUUUAAUUCCUGAGAGCCAUCACCAGUGAAGAGGCUACAAAUACACCUCUUAACAAAACCUUUAAAAUAUGUCUUAGGGAUGGGAUUAUGUUGCUACUAUGGUUUUUUGUUAAAGGAAGACAUAUGGAUGGUAACAGAGCUUCUCAAAUAUAAACAAGCUUUGGGUGAUAAAUUCUCAGUGUAUGAGAGCUUAUGAAAAGAGUAGACAACAGUGAACGGACUUAUUUGAAGAAGAGAAAAGGGCUAGUGUUUGCUUCCCCUAAGGCUUUUACUGUUUCUUCUUCAGUCUCUAAUGUGACCGCAUCAAAAGAGCUGGAGAUGUUAAAGAGAAUUGGAAUUAAGACAAAUUCAAUUCCAUGAAUAGAAGUUUCUAGGAAGUUUCCUGGUCCUGGGUAGAUCAAACCACACCAAUAAAUUCUGGAUGUUCGCAACGUGGGGCUGGAUUACUUCAGAGAUCAAUGGUUGUCAAAGUUCUUUCACAUAACUCUCCACUUCUAAUGAACUGGUGCGAUAGAGACAAUAAGAAUAUAUUUACAGAAGGGACCAUAAGAACAUCCUGAGAAGAACUCAAGAUAGAAAAAGAGAAUCAAGACCAUUACAUAUAAGGUUAAUAUUAUGGUGGCCAGAAUACUGCAGUGGAUUCCCUUCUCCAGUGGAUCUUCCCAACCCAGUGAUUGAACCCCAGGUCUCCUCAUUGCAGGUGGGUUCUUUACCAGCUGAGCCACCAGAGAAGCCCAAGAAUACUGGGGUGGGUAACCUAUCCUUUCUCCAGAGGAUCUUCCUGACCCACGAAUCAAACCAGGGUCUCCCACACUGCAGGCAUAAAGAAUCUGCCUGCAGUGCAGGAGACCUGGGUUCAACUCUUGGGUUGGGAAGAUCCCCUGGAGGAGGGUAUGGCAACCCACUCCAGCAUUCUUUGCCUGGAGAAUCCCCGUGGACAGAAGAGCUUGGCAGGCUAUAGUCCAUGGGGUUACAAGGAGUUGGACACAACUGAAUGACUAAGUAUAUCUAUUUCUUAAUAUUUAUUUUGGACAAAUUUUCCUUGACUUCAUUUUAAAGUAAAGUGACACAUAUAAAGAGCAGGUAAGGAAUUGUGCAGACAGUAAGAGAUUGCUUUGUAGAGUAAUUGCAUUACUUUUGUUGAAAUUCCAACCUCGAGUGUGACCAUAUUUGGAGAUGGGGCCUUUAAGGAAAUAAUUAAGGUUAAAUGAGAUCCAGAUAGGAUCUCAUAGUGUUCUUAUAAGAAAAGACACCAAAGAACUCUCUUUGUCUUUCUCUCUCUGUUUUUACAUCUCCCUAUGUGCAGAAGAGAGGUUCCAUAAGCAUACAGUAAGAUGGAGACCAUGGGCUUCCCUGAUGGCUCAGCAGGUAAAGAAUCUACCAGCAGUGCAUAAGACACAGGAGACGUGGGUUUGAUCCCUGAGUGGGGAAGACCCCUGGAGAAGGAAAAUGGCAACCCACUCCCGUUUCUUGCCUGAAAAAUCCCAUGGAUGGAGCCUGACAUUUACAGUCUAUGGGGUCACAAAGAGUCAUACACAAUUGAACAGCUGAUGCGUGCACUCAAGAUGGAGGCCAUUUACAAACCAUGAAGAAGGCUCUCACCAGAAAAUAAAUUUGCAGAAACCUUGAUCA
ensembl:lncRNA